GGGGACCCAGGAAUGAAUCAACCCUCUCUCCAGCAGGAGGAGGAUGGAACUGAUGUAGACACAGGCACCUAAUAAUAAUAAGCACCAGCAUUUCCCGAAAGCGAGUUUGCACUAGGCGCUGGGCUAAGAGGUCUGUAUGCGCGAUCAUCUCAUUUAUGUUCCCCCAGGUUAAUCCCAUUCGAACGUAUACUUGAAGAGGGCAGCGACUGGGACCAAUUUGAUUGUCAGGGUAUCCUUAGUGCCUCCACAGUGCUUGGAACACGGUGGGGACUUCAAGGCAUAUUUGUUAUGAAUGAAUGAAUAAAUGAAUAGCUAGUCAUAACUGACAACUGUGGCUUAGAUAUUAGCGUUAUCGCCAUUUUCUUAGAUGACGAGCCCGAGGUUCAGAAAAGUUAAGAAACUCGUUCCCUAUGGCCGAAGCCCAGUUUCCCUUAUCCGCUAGUCCACACUGCCGUCUGGCCGGCUCCGUGGGGCACUCCGCCUUGGGACCAGGCGGGCGGAGGGCGGCAUCUCGGGCGGCGAGACACGCGGGCGCCCCUUAUCGGCGCUCCGGUGGCUCAGCGGCCCCGCGAGCGGCCGCACAGGUGCUCGGCCCGGCAAGGCAAGAAGCGGGGCGCAGGCUGCCGGCGUCGCCCCCUGACCACCCAUCCGUCCUUACGUGCUUCCCGUUUGGGGGUGCUGAGCGAGCACCCUCGGUGGGACUUAGAUAUCACCUAAGUUCACCCUCCGUCAUGCUUUGGGAUUAAGACAAUCAUUAAACAAACUAUGGAAUUGUUCGGCUAAAUUGAACCAGGCGACUCUAAUUUCCAAUCUCUUAAAACUUGUGUUGGAGCAAAGAGAGAAGAGAACAUAAAAGCAAUCCUUUGGAACCUUCCAGCUGUGAGUCUGUUUACCUGGGGCAUGAUAGCAUGUACAAUUAUCAGCCUUAUUUCGACUCCCAAUUAUUCUUGUGACAUAGAUACAGAUUAUGGGGAGGGAGUGCAGGGAAUAAAACUGAGCAUGUUAUGUCCUACA
rnacentral:lncRNA from 1 species